rnacentral:rRNA from 1 species
AGAGUUUGAUCCUGGCUCAGGACGAACGCUGGCGGCGCGCCUAACACAUGCAAGUCGAACGGAGCUGAGAGGAGCUUGCUUUUCUUAGCUUAGUGGCGAACGGGUGAGUAACGCGUGAGUAACCUGCCCUGGAGUGGGGGACAACAGUUGGAAACGACUGCUAAUACCGCAUAAGCCCACGGUACCGCAUGGCACUGAGGGAAAAGGAUUUAUUCGCUUUAGGAUGGACUCGCGUCCAAUUAGCUAGUUGGUGAGGUAACGGCCCACCAAGGCGACGAUUGGUAGCCGGACUGAGAGGUUGAACGGCCACAUUGGGACUGAGACACGGCCCAGACUCCUACGGGAGGCAGCAGUGGGGGAUAUUGCACAAUGGGGGAAACCCUGAUGCAGCGACGCCGCGUGGAGGAAGAAGGUUUUCGGAUUGUAAACUCCUGUCGUUAGGGACGAUAAUGACGGUACCUAACAAGAAAGCACCGGCUAACUACGUGCCAGCAGCCGCGGUAAAACGUAGGGUGCAAGCGUUGUCCGGAAUUACUGGGUGUAAAGGGAGCGCAGGCGGACCGGCAAGUUGGAAGUGAAAACUAUGGGCUCAACCCAUAAAUUGCUUUCAAAACUGCUGGCCUUGAGUAGUGCAGAGGUAGGUGGAAUUCCCGGUGUAGCGGUGGAAUGCGUAGAUAUCGGGAGGAACACCAGUGGCGAAGGCGACCUACUGGGCACCAACUGACGCUGAGGCUCGAAAGCAUGGGUAGCAAACAGGAUUAGAUACCCUGGUAGUCCAUGCCGUAAACGAUGAUUACUAGGUGUUGGAGGAUUGACCCCUUCAGUGCCGCAGUU